AUGACCUGCUUCUAUUUGCUUGCUUGUUUGUUUGAUCUGAUGCUACAUUGUCUAUGUUCCUCCUAAAGAUGUUCUUUUCUCAACACUUAAGUGCCCAUUGAUGACCACAAAAAGGAAUGUCCAGUGCAGCUGCGGGUCCACUUGAGCCCUCCAAGCCAGCCCUCUCCAGCCCACUCUGUCUGUGGGCUCUGUGUUCCCAGAGCCUGUUGUUGCAGUGAUGUCUGGAAUCCUCAACACCUGCACGCCAGCUUCCUGGGCAUUUCCACCGCCCUCCUCCUUCCCCUCCCAAAGCUCUAUUUGCAUCUGAAAUGCAGCUGCUCUGGACUCAAAAGAGGGGAGCCCAAAGGACAGGACAGCUCCUUGUUUGGGCUCCCUCUCUCAGUCAAACCAAAUCUGAAGCUCCUCUGUACAAGGCCUUUUGUUGCCCUGUCAUUAUGUUUAAAUGAGCCUCAUCUGCAGGAAGAUUUUUUUUAAUAAAAUAAAAUAAAACCACCACAAAAGACCAAA